CCUGUGUAUCAUUCAUCGGGUCAAAAUUUGAUAAAUUUCUUACUUGCACAACAGCCUCGUCCCUCCCAGCCACAAAUCGGUGUUCAAUUUUGGGAAUAUCUUGGUAGGUUUGACCAAUCAUAGCCCGUGUCGCUCCCAAGAAUUGACCAGGAAAGAGCCAAUCAGAUUUCGCAGAACUACCAAGAAUCAAGUGACGGAAUUAUCCAAUCAGAUCUCGUAGAACUACCAAGAAUACUGAGCGUUUUCAACGACGAGAGAUUAUUGAAUCUUGAAGUCUUUUGGUUUAUUUCGAAAUACAAUCAUCUGAAGAUUAUCCUGUGUAUCAUUCAUCGGGUCAAAAUUUGAUACAUCAUAGCCCGUGUCGCUACCAAGAAUUGAUCAGGAAAGAGCCAAUCAGAUUUCGCAGAACUACCAAGAAUCAAGUGACGGAAUUAUCCAAUCAGAUCUCGUAGAACUACCAAGAAUACUGAGCAUUUUCAACGACAAGAGAUUAUUGAAUCUUGAAGUCUUUUGGUUUAUUUCGAAAUACACUCAUCUGAAGGCAUGCGAAGGCACAGGACCAAUACCUUCCCAGCUGUUAAACCUUCCAUCCUUGCAUCCUUCCCAUCUUCCUGCUGUGUAUGGGGGACCUUUGGCGUAUGAGGCGAACGUGAUAACCACUACACUACGGAAACAUUUCAUGAACUGCUGCAACCGCUUAUCAAAUACAAUGAACUUCAAAUACAUACAAAUAAUGCACUAUAAUGCAGUUAUGCGAUAUAUGCAAUAUGAUCUAAGAAGUAUAAAAAAUAUAUAUAUAUUUGUAACGGAUUGUUAUUUUUAAUAAAUUAAAAAAAAAAUGUUUCCACCCAGUCUCGAACCGGGGACCUUUCACGUGUUAGGCGAACGUGAAAACCACUACACUACGGAAACACAUCUUGUUACACGCUCCACUAUUCAUACAGUAGCUUACUAACAUAUAUAUUUUUAUUUAACACCAUAAAUAAAACAAGCCCUUAAUAUAUAAUAUAGCCCUGAUACGUUUUAUAGUGUAAGCGCGUAUAUGUUAAUGAGCAGUUCUACAUUUGUCCAGAUGCUUUGUUGAUACCCAGUUUUAAAAUAACAAGGACAUCUAACUAUUUACGACCAUGAAGAACGUUUUGACAGUUUUUAAGGCAACCCCAGCCUUAAACAAGUUUGGUAUUUAUUUUUAAAUAACUCCUACCCAAGAAUAAAACUGCUGCCCCGUGUGAGGAUCGAACUCACGACCUUCAGAUUAUGAGACUGACGCGCUACCUACUGCGCUAACGAGGCCUUGAAAAUGCUUUCCAUUCCAGGAUUGAGGAAUGUGGGAUCUAUGCAAUGCUAAAGGUUUAAAAGCAGGGAUCUUGCUCAGACCCGAAGAUCCUGUGAUUUUUUAUUCAGAAAAAACACCUUUGCUGGCAUUGGUGUGCUCUUCCUCUGGAGUAGCAGCUGGUCUUCAUUGCAAUGGUUUUCUGCAAGCAAUCAGAACAUUGGCUAGUUCCACCUUGAAGUCUAGAUAUUCCAUAACCUCUCUCUUUCUGUCCCCUAAGGAAUAGCGAUCUUGUCAGUAUUGUAAGCAUGCAUUUGCUGCUGACAAAUCCAGCAUGUGAACGAUCACCUUAGCUGUCCAUUUCUUGAUCCUGGUUUUUGCCCUGUAGUAGGAUUUGCAGCUGUCAAAUCAUGUCAGCUCCUCCCGUUUUUGAAUUGUAAUCUCUGGACGAUUUACCUCGAUUUAUUUGUCAUACAUUCUAAAAUGAUUCAGCUGUCAGGCCUACAUUGUAAAUGAAUGAAAAGUAUCAGAAAGAGGUUGUACAUAAACCCCAAAGUUUAACCCUUUCAGUCCAAAAUUUAUUUUCAAUCAUAAAAAAAAAUAUUUUAACUCUUUUUUCCUAGUCUUAUUGCAACUAGAAAUGAGACUCAAACUAAAUUUAGAUUUUAGCACAAAUCUUUUAUUGUUUUUUUUGUUGUCCACUCCAAUGGACAUCUUAGAAUAUUUCCUGAAAUUAAAACAUCAUAAAAAAUACACAAAAUAAUGAGAUUAGAAAAACAAAGAUACUAUCAUAGGCCCUCGGUCUAGAAUUUUUACUUGCGGUGAGCAGCCUUGAAACAAUUUCUAUGUGGCACAAAACACAGGUGCACUUUGCACUUUGUAAUUGUAUGUAAAAAUAAUGUGAUAUCUUGUAACAAUUGUAAGUCACCCUGGAUAAGGGCGUCUGCUAAGAAAUAAAUAAUAAUAUCGCAGGAGACAUGAUGUAAUAACAAGAGUAGUAAUAACAGUUAUAAUAACAAGGUUAUGGCAAUGUGGGCAGCAGUGCGGAGUAGCGGUUAGGGCUGUGGACUCUUGACCGGAGGGUUGUGGGUUCAGCAGGGACACUGCUGCUGUAUCCUUGAGCAAGGUACUUUACCUAGAUUGCUCCAGUAAAAACCCAACUGUAUACAUGGGUAAUUGUAUGUAAAAAUAAUGUGAUAUCUUGUAACAAUUGUAAGUCGUCCUGGAUAAGGGCGACUGCUAAGAAAUAAAUAAUAAUAAUAUUAAUAAUACAAUACCUAACCCCUCUGAUGUGCCUACUGUUCCCCCCUCAUUAAACGGCAAUAAAUGAUACAUUAAAUGUUCAUUCCGAUCACCCAGUUGCAAGCACCGAUCAGAAUGUAAUUCUUGACAUUGAUGUUGCUGUAUAGUGUCCCAGUAUGCAGCCCCCACCCCGUCUAAUUCUGCCACAAACAAAUCCCUGUUGUUCUGGGUUGACUCAGUGGCCCUCUGUAAAUCCAUGAGAAGCACAUUUUCUAUGUGGACAGUGCUUAAAGUCAUUAGUGGAUCAUGUUGCAGUGGAAAUAUCACACUUGAUGCUUGAUGUUAGAAAUGGAUUUAAUAAAGUAAUUGUGUUGCUAUUUUAUUCUAAUACAGUUGAAGUUCAUGGAACAGAAUUCAAGUUAUAAUUUGUUCCAUUGUUUUAUCUCUAACGCUACUAACACAU